CUCCCUGCAGGGCAGCAUGAUGUGUGAGCAGGAAUCCAAUGGACGCACCGCUGCAUUCUGGGAGUUCGGACUGGAUGGACAGAUAUCUCUCCGCUUUGACACAAAGAACGGACACUGGACAGUGCUGCGCGGUGAAGGCAUUCUGUUAGAGCGAGCAUUGGCGAGUGACAGAGCUAUGACCGAUCUCCUUGUUAGGACCUCAACUGGAGACUGUAGGAAGUGGCUUCAACAAGUUCUGUGUCCCCUGAGCACACAAGCUGCACCAACCACUGCCACAGCCACAGUCCCGUCCAAGGCCACAACCAACACGCCCAUCACUUCGGUCCUCCCUGUGGUCCUCACCUGCGCAAUCAUAGUUGGCAUCUUAGGCUGGGCCUUUAAGUAACAGGCUGCCUAUGCGAUGGGACCAGGAAGGCCCUGGUGGUGUGGACCAUCUCAGCGACUCUGCCUUUCCUUGGCUGCCUCUGCAUGACCUGCUGCUCAGUUUGAGGACACCAGGAGCUCCAAGCUUCCGCCCAGAGACCAGGGUCAGUCAGGAUGAGACAGUGGAUGCAGCAUCUCAUGUCCAUUGUUGCAUUGCUGAUUAUCCUCUCCGGUGCUUUUUUUAAAAUAUAUUUUAUUGAUUUUUUACAGAGAGGAAGGGAGAGGGAUAGAGUCAGAAACAUCGAUGA